CGAUGCUGCUUCGGUAAAACUCUCUAAACUGCAGUAAAAAUGUGUUUAGCGUUUCGUGUUGUAAUAUUGUUAAUGGCAUCGAGUAUAAGUAUUUGGUGUUUCAGGAACUUCUCUACUCACAAUGAAGAUGCGGCUGAGAAAGCUGCUGCUGUUGCUGACACCGACAAUAUUCGACAAGAUCAUAGGAAAAAGAGAUUCCAUUAGACAUAGUCUAUGAGGAUCGUUUUGGCAUUCAGAGACAUAAAACCCACAGGCUCUUGUUCAUGUUUUGGUCAUCCCCAAGUUUAGAGAUGGCUUGACCUCGCUUGGGAAGAUAAUUAGAGGAAAAAAGUCAUGUGAAAAUGAAGAUUUAUGGUGGAACAGAUUAAGUAUCUUACUCCUGAGCAUUGUCUUCCUUCAAAACACUUUUGCAGGCUGAACCAAAACACGUAGAGGUUCUUGGCCAGCUUCUAUACGUAUCAAAGAUUGUUUGCUGAGAAAGAAGGUAGCCUCCGUGUGGUCAUAAAAAAUGGCGCUGAAGGCUGCAAGUCUUUUCUUUUCUGUCCAACCUAACAUUAUUAUAAUCAUCAUACACUUAACUGGCUUAAAAUUCAUCUUAUCGAGGCCAGUCUGUUUACCAUCUUCAUUUGCACGUCCUCUGU